GACGAACGCUGGCGGCGUGCCUAAUACAUGCAAGUAGAACGCACAGUUUAUACCGUAGCUUGCUACACCAUAGACUGUGAGUUGCGAACGGGUGAGUAACGCGUAGGUAACCUGCCUGGUAGCGGGGGAUAACUAUUGGAAACGAUAGCUAAUACCGCAUAAUAUUAAUUAUUGCAUGAUAAUUAAUUGAAAGGUGCAAUUGCACCACUACCAGAUGGACCUGCGUUGUAUUAGCUAGUAGGUGAGGUAACGGCUCACCUAGGCGACGAUACAUAGCCGACCUGAGAGGGUGAUCGGCCCCACUGGGACUGAGACACGGCCCAGACUCCUACGGGAGGCAGCAGUAGGGAAUCUUCGGCAAUGGACGAAAGUCUGACCGAGCAACGCCGCGUGAGUGAAGAAGGUUUUCGGAUCGUAAAGCUCUGUUGUAAGAGAAGAACGGGUGUGAGAGUGGAAAGUUCACACUGUGACGGUAUCUUACCAGAAAGGGACGGCUAACUACGUG
rnacentral:rRNA from 1 species